rnacentral:rRNA from 1 species
CCUACGGGGGGCUGCAGUGAGGAAUAUUGGUCAAUGGGCGCGAGCCUGAACCAGCCAAGUAGCGUGAAGGAUGACUGCCCUACGGGUUGUAAACUUCUUUUAUAAAGGAAUAAAGUGAGGCACGUGAGCCUUUUUGUAUGUACUUUAUGAAUAAGGAUCGGCUAACUCCGUGCAAGCAGCCGCGGUAAUACGCAGGAACCGAGGGUUAUCCGGAUUUAUUGGGUUUAAAGGGAGCGUAGAUGGGUUGUUAAGUCAGUUGUGAAAGUGUGCGGCUCAACCGUGAAAUUGCAAUUGAUACUGGCAGUCUUGAGUACAGUUGAGGUAGGCGGAAUUCGUGGUGUAGCGGUGAAAUACUUAGAUAUCACGAAGAACUCCGAUUGCGAAGGCAGCUUACUAAGCUGCCACUGACAUUGAUGCUCGAAAGUGUGGGUAUCAAACAGGAUUAGAUACCCUUGUAGUC